rnacentral:rRNA from 1 species
CUCUCUGGCUUGGGGGCCUUCGGGUUUCUUACCCCUUUGCACCUUAUAAAAAUGGGUUGCGGGGAGGAGUCCCCCAAAAGGAGGUUUCCGGCCCUUUUCCCUCCGCGGGUGGGGCGCCCGCCGGAGGAUAACCAAACUCUGAUUUAACGACGUUUCUUCUGAGUGACACAAGCAAAUAAUCAAAACUUUUAACAACGGAUCUCUUGGUUCUGGCAUCGAUGAAGAACGCAGCGAAAUGCGAUAAGUAAUGUGAAUUGCAGAAUUCAGUGAAUCAUCGAAUCUUUGAACGCACAUUGCGCCCGCCAGCAUUCUGGCGGGCAUGCCUGUUCGAGCGUCAUUUCAACCCUCAAGCUCUGCUUGGUGUUGGGGCUCUACGGUUGACGUAGGCCCUUAAAGGUAGUGGCGGACCCUCUCGGAGCCUCCUUUGCGUAGUAACAUUUCGUCUCGCAUUGGGAUUCGGAGGGACUCUAGGAGUAAAACCCCCAAUUUUACUAAGGUUACGCUCGGAUCUAGUAUUCUCGUAGGGAAUCAUUGCGA